GUGGAUUAGAUACCCUGGUAGUCCUGGCCGUAAACGAUGUCGACUAGAUCGUGGUGGCUCUGACGUCAUCACGGUCGAAGCAAAAGUGCUAAGUCGACCGCCUGGGAAGUACGGUCGCAAGGCUAAAACUCAAAGGAAUUGACGGGGGCUCACACAAGCGGUGGAGCAUGUGGUUCAAUUCGAAGCAACGCGCAGAACCUUACCUGGGCUUGACAUGCUAGGAUUAUCCCUAUGAAAGUAGGGUAGGCCCUUCGGGGUACAACUAGUACAGGUGCUGCACGGCCGUCGCCAGCU
rnacentral:rRNA from 1 species